AUACAUGCAGACGAACGGCAAGAUUGAUAGCAAUAUUGAUCCUAGAGUGUCGUACGGGUGCGUAACACGUAUGCAACCUACCUUUUACAGGAGUAUAGCUCGGUGAAAACCGAAUUAACCCUCCAUAAGAUCAUAUUCAGGCAUCUGGAAGUGAUUAAAACUGCGGUGGUAAAAGAUGGGCAUGCGUUUGAUUAGUUAGUUGGUAGUGUAACGGACUACCAAGACGAUGAUCAAUAGGGGACCUGAGAGGGUGAUCCCCCACACUGGCACUGAGAUACGGGCCAGACUCCUACGGGAGGCAGCAGUAGGGAAUAUUGGACAAUGGGUGAGAGCCUGAUCCAGCCAUGCCGCGUGCAGGAAGAAGGCGUUAUGCGUUGUAAACUGCUUUAGCCAGGGGAUAAAAAGACCUUGCGAGGUUAAUUGAAGGUACCUGGAUAAUAAGCCACGGCUAACUACGUGCCAGCAGCCGCGGUAAUACGUAGGUGGCAAGCGUUGUCCGGAUUUAUUGGGUUUAAAGGGUGCGUAGGCGGCCCUGCAAGUCAGUGCUGAAAUAUCCCGGCUUAACCGGGAGGGUGGCAUUGAUACUGCAGGGCUUGAGUACAGAUGAAGUACGCGGAAUUGACGGUGUAGCGGUGAAAUGCAUAGAUAUCGUCAAGAACACCGAUAGCGAAAGCAGCUUACUAAGCUGUAACUGGCGCUGAGGCACGAAAGUGUGGGGAUCAACAGGAUUAGAUACY
rnacentral:rRNA from 1 species